GGUUGCGUUCAUACCAACACUAAUGCACCGGAUCCCAUCAGAACUCCGCAGUUAAGCGUGCUUGGGCGAGAGUAGUACUAGGAUGGGUGACCCCCUGGGAAGUCCUCGUGUUGCAACCC
rnacentral:rRNA from 1 species